GACGAACGCUGGCGGCGUGCUUAACACAUGCAAGUCGAACGGAAAGGCCCCUUUGGGGGUACUCGAGUGGCGAACGGGUGAGUAACACGUGAGUAACCUGCCCUUGACUUCGGGAUAACUUCAGGAAACUGGGGCUAAUACCGGAUAGGAAUCCUUGCUGCAUGGUGGGGGUUGGAAAGCUUCGGCGGUUUUGGAUGGACUCGCGGCUUAUCAGCUUGUUGGUGGGGUAGUGGCUUACCAAGGCUUUGACGGGUAGCCGGCCUGAGAGGGCGACCGGCCACAUUGGGACUGAGAUACGGCCCAGACUCCUACGGGAGGCAGCAGUGGGGAAGAGUGCACAAUGGGCGGAAGCCUGAUGCAGCAACGCCGCGUGCGGGAUGACGGCCUUCGGGUUGUAAACCGCUUUCAGCAGGGGCGAAGCUUGUGGUGACGGUACCUGCAGAAGAAGCACCGGCUAACUACGUG
rnacentral:rRNA from 1 species